AGCUCCGUGGUGAAGAACACAUUGGAUUGCAAAUCCAAAGACGCAGGCUAACCCCUGCCGGGGCUU
rnacentral:tRNA from 1 species